UAAGGUGCAUCUAGUGCAGAUAGUUCCGCUGCGUAAAUGCUACUGCUCUAUGUGCUCCUUUAC
rnacentral:pre_miRNA from 1 species